rnacentral:rRNA from 1 species
AUGAACGGAGGCAUCGCUCCGCCGCCGGCCGCGGCCGCGCCGACGGAGGCGGCGACGGCGGCGACCACGCCCAGCCACCGCCGGCUGCCGGACUUCCUCCAGAGCGUGAACCUCAAGUACGUGAAGCUCGGGUACCACUACCUCAUCACCCACCUCAUCACGCUGCUGCUGCUGCCGCUCAUGGCCGUCAUCGUGCUCGAGGCCGGCCGCACCGACCCCGACGACCUCCGCCAGCUCUGGCUGCACCUCCAGUACAACCUCGUCUCGGUGCUCGUGCUCUCCGCCGUCCUCGUCUUCGGCGCCACCGUGUACGCGCUCACCCGCCCGCGCCCGGUCUACCUCGUCGACUUCGCCUGCUACAAGGCGCCCGACCACCUCAAGGUCGGCUUCCAGGAGUUCCUCCGCCACUCGGCGCUCUGCGGCUUCUCCGACGACGCCCUCGAGUUCCAGCGCAAGAUCCUCGAGCGCUCCGGCCUCAGCGAGGAGACCUACUGCCCCGAGGGCAUGCACGCCAUCCCGCCCGAGCCCACCAUGGCCAACGCCCGCGCCGAGGCCGAGUCCGUCAUGUUCGGCGCGCUCGACAGCCUCUUCGCCGCCACCGGCGUCAAGCCCAAGGACGUCGGCAUCCUCGUCGUCAACUGCAGCCUCUUCAACCCGACGCCCUCGCUCUCCGCCAUGAUCGUCAACCGGUACAAGCUCAGGGGCAACGUCCGGAGCUUCAACCUCGGCGGCAUGGGCUGCAGCGCCGGCGUCAUCGCCAUCGACCUGGCCCGGGACAUGCUCCAGGUGCACCGCGGCACCUACGCCGUGGUGGUGAGCACGGAGAACAUCACGCAGAACUGGUACUUCGGCAACCGCAAGUCGAUGCUCAUCCCCAACUGCCUCUUCCGCGUCGGCUGCUCCGCGGUGCUCCUCUCCAACCGCGGCGCCGACCGCCGGCGCGCAAAGUACAGCCUCAAGCACGUGGUGCGCACGCACAAGGGCGCCGACGACAAGGCCUUCAACUGCGUGUACCAGGAGCAGGACGGCGAGGGCAAGACGGGCGUGUCCCUGUCCAAGGACCUGAUGGCGAUCGCCGGCGGCGCGCUCAAGACCAACAUCACCACGCUGGGGCCGCUGGUGCUCCCCUUCAGCGAGCAGCUGCUCUUCUUCGCCACGCUGGUGUCCAAGAAGCUCUUCAACGCCAAGGUGAAGCCCUACAUCCCGGACUUCAAGCUGGCGUUCGAGCACUUCUGCAUCCACGCCGGCGGGCGCGCGGUGAUCGACGAGCUGGAGAAGAACCUGCAGCUGCAGCCGGUGCACGUGGAGGCGUCCCGGAUGACGCUGCACCGGUUCGGCAACACCUCCAGCAGCUCCAUCUGGUACGAGCUGGCCUACAUGGAGGCCAAGGGCCGGGUCCGGCGCGGCGACCGCAUCUGGCAGAUCGCCUUCGGCAGCGGGUUCAAGUGCAACAGCGCGGUGUGGCACGCCCUGCGCAACGUCAAGCCGUCGCCCAGCACCCCCUGGGACGACUGCAUCGACCGCUACCCCGUGGAGCUCGUCGACGGCUUCCCCACCCACACCCACACCCACAAGUAG